UACGUAGGGACCGAGCGUUGUCCGGAUUCAUUGGGCGUAAAGAGCUCGUAGGCGGCUGCUCAAGUCGAAUGUGAAAACUCGAGGCUCAACCUCGAGCCUGCAUUCGAUACUGGGCGGCUAGAGUCUGGUAGGGGGAUCUGGAAUUCCUGGUGUAGCGGUGGAAUGCGCAGAUAUCAGGAGGAACACCGGUGGCGAAGGCGGGAUCCUGGGCCAGUACUGACGCUGAGGCGCGAAAGCUAGGGGAGCAAACGGG
rnacentral:rRNA from 1 species